UCUCUACUCCAGUAUAUAAAGGGCCUCUCUAUAUACCUGCAUUUACAGAUCAAACACCAUUACUUCCACAUACAGAUUAAUACUAGUCACCAGUACAAGUUAGCCGAUAGCGUUGCUUGUUUCUUCUUCAAGAUGGCCAAGACAGAGACACAAGAAACCCAACCUCCAUCAGGAUACCCAACUGAAACCGAGAAUCCCCCAACUGGGAAGAAGUUUAGACCAUGGACAAAAAAGAAAGGAGACAGAGGCUUCAUUGAGGGAUGCCUCUUCGCCUUAUGCUGCUGCUGGCUAUGUGAGGAAUGCUUCUGAAGUCCUUAUGGACAUGCUUACCAUAAUAGCUUACUCGUUUAGCAUUUCUUACCCAACUCUUUGCUAUUUGUACCUGCAUAUUCACAUUACUCUAGUAAUAUGCCAUCAUAUUUUUGUUCCCUAAGAAAUUAGGUUCAUCAACUCUUUCAGUUGUUUGCGGUUAGAUAGUGCGAAAAGGACUAUCCGUUCAUCUAUUCUCCUUAUUAGUUAGGAGAGGUUCUCAAACAUGCACCACACAUAAGCAACUUGUUUAAGCUAUAACAUUGUAAAAUAACAAUGUUUGAGAUGGGCCCUUUUUGAAUGAUUAAACUUAUUCUUCACACCA